ACACAUAGACAGACAGGACACCCACAGAGACACAUACACAGAGAAAGCAGCCAUGAAACCCACUAACCUUCUAGCCCUCGCCGCACACACACGCACGCACACGCACACGCACACACACACACGCACACACACGCACGCACACACACGCACGCACACACACACACGCACGCACGCACCUCUCUCUAAACCUCAAUCUGGGCUGAACGGUUACAGAAGCAGAUAUCGCAUCAGGAAAUCACAGUGUCAUUAAAAGGAGGCCAAAACAGGACAAAGAGACAGAUAAACGAACAAGCAUGGCACAUCCAGACACGGUUAGGUUAGACUAGUGCAGUCAGCCACAGUGAGUCCUAGUUCCUGCCAUCUCCCUUCCUGAAACAUGAACACAGCUAGGCAACACAUACAGCUUGCCCUGGGGCUCACAUAGAGAGAAGGGGGGAGAGAAACUGAGAAAGGGGAAGAAGCAAUGCAGAGCAAGUGAAAAAAGACAGAUAGAAAGUGUGUAGAGGGCAGAGAAAAGGAGAGGUAGCAGAAAGAGAAAAGGAGAGGUAGCAGAAAGAGAAAAGGAGAGGUAGCAGAAAGAGAAAAGGAGAGGUAGCAGAAAGAGAAAAGGAGAGGUAGCAGAAAGAGAAAAGGAGAGGUAGCAGAAAGAGAAAAGGAGAGGUAGCAGAAAGAGAAAAUGAGAGGUAGCAGAAAGAGAAAAUGAGAGGUAGCAGAAAGAGGGGGCAGAGAAAAGGAGAGGUAGCAGAAAGAGAAAAGGAGAGGUAGCAGAAAGAGAAAAGGAGAGGUAGCAGAAAGAGAAAAGGAGAGGUAGCAGAAAGAGAAAAGGAGAGGUAGCAGAAAGAGAAAAGGAGAGGUAGCAGAAAGAGAAAAUGAGAGGUAGCAGAAAGAGAAAAUGAGAGGUAGCAGAAAGAGGGGGCAGAGAAAAGGAGAGGUAGCAGAAAGAGAAAAGGAGGGGUAGCAGAAAGAGAAAAGGAGAGGUAGCAGAAAGAGAGGGCAGAGAAAAGGAGAGGUAGCAGAAAGAGAGGGCAGAGAAAAGGAGAGGUAGCAGAAAGAGGGGGCAGAGAAAAGGAGAGGUAGCAGAAAGAGGGGGCAGAGAAAAGGAGAGGUAGCAGAAAGAGAAAAGGAGGGGUAGCAGAAAGAGAAAAGGAGAGGUAGCAGAAAGAGAGGGCAGAGAAAAGGAGAGGUAGCAGAAAGAGAGGGCAGAGAAAAGGAGAGGUAGCAGAAAGAGGGGGCAGAGAAAAGGAGAGGUAGCAGAAAGAGGGGGCAGAGAAAAGGAGAGGUAGCAGAAAGAGAAAAGGAGGGGUAGCAGAAAGAGAAAAGGAGAGGUAGCAGAAAGAGAGGGCAGAGAAAAUGAGAGGUAGCAGAAAGAGAAAAGGAGGGGUAGCAGAAAGAGAAAAGGAGAGGUAGCAGAAAGAGGGGGCAGAGAAAAGGAGAGGUAGCAGAAAGAGGGGGCAGAGAAAAGGAGAGGUAGCAGAAAGAGAAAAGGAGGGGUAGCAGAAAGAGAAAAGGAGAGGUAGCAGAAAGAGAGGGCAGAGAAAAGGAGAGGUAGCAGAAAGAGAGGGCAGAGAAAAGGAGAGGUAGCAGAAAGAGGGGGCAGAGAAAAGGAGAGGUAGCAGAAAGAGGGGGCAGAGAAAAGGAGAGGUAGCAGAAAGAGGGGGCAGAGAAAAGGAGAGGUAGCAGAAAGAGAAAAGGAGGGGUAGCAGAAAGAGAAAAGGAGAGGUAGCAGAAAGAGAGGGCAGAGAAAAUGAGAGGUAGCAGAAAGAGGGGGCAGAGAAAAGGAGAGAUAGCAGAAAGAGAGGGCAGAGAAAAGGAGAGGUAGCAGAAAGAGAAAAGGAGGGGUAGCAGAAAGAGAAAAGGAGAGGUAGCAGAAAGAGGGGGCAGAGAAAAGGAGAGGUAGCAGAAAGAGAAAAGGAGGGGUAGCAGAAAGAGAAAAGGAGAGAUAGCAGAAAGAGAGGGCAGAGAAAAUGAGAGGUAGCAGAAAGAGAAAAGGAGGGGUAGCAGAAAGAGAAAAGGAGAGGUAGCAGAAAGAGGGGGCAGAGAAAAGGAGAGGU